ACGCACGCUGGCGGCGUGCUUAACACGUGCAAGUCGAACGGAAAGGCCCUGCUUUUGUGGGGUGCUCGAGUGGCGAACGGGUGAGUAACACGUGAGUAACCUGCCCUUGACUUUGGGAUAACUUCAGGAAACUGGGGCUAAUACCGGAUAGGAGCUCCUGCUGCAUGGUGGGGGUUGGAAAGUUUCGGCGGUUGGGGAUGGACUCGCGGCUUAUCAGCUUGUUGGUGGGGUAGUGGCUUACCAAGGCUUUGACGGGUAGCCGGCCUGAGAGGGUGACCGGCCACAUUGGGACUGAGAUACGGCCCAGACUCCUACGGGAGGCAGCAGUGGGGAAUAUUGCACAAUGGGCGGAAGCCUGAUGCAGCAACGCCGCGUGCGGGAUGACGGCCUUCGGGUUGUAAACCGCUUUCGCCUGUGACGAAGCGUGAGUGACGGUAAUGGGUAAAGAAGCACCGGCUAACUACGUG
rnacentral:rRNA from 1 species